GGCAAAGCUACGAGAGAGGUUGGCCAUUUCCUUCUUCAUUUUUCAGACAGUGAAGUCUUGACUUGACCAGGGGCACACAGCCAGGGAGGGUCUCAGGGCAAACCCAAACGAUGUCCCUCCUGUGUGUUAUCGGUUGGCCAUUAUUCAGGCCUUUGGAUCGGCCAUCCAGUUUACUGUGGGAUCCUGGAAGGAGUUCCCCAUCUGGGCCUCAGUUUCCCCAUUUGCUGGUCCCGAGGAUGCUUUUAAAUCUGUGAUUCUAAGAUUCGGAGCUUCCCCUUCUUGAAGAUGAGCUGCGGUCUGCACACGCAUACACACCCGCCUAGACAUCCGUAGGGACGCGAGCACACGCAUAUACAUACAUACACACGUUUCUCAAGCCCCGGCCACCCCUUCCCAGCAUGCUCCUCAGUGCGUUUGGGGUCUCCUGAGCGUGCUGGGAGUCACCUCCCUCUGACCAGAAGCCCUCACUGAGCUACUUCCUUCCUUGUCUCUCCAGGUCACACCUCAGGGGGCUGGGGGGACCCUGCCAUUGUCCCCAGCUUCCAGCAGUCUGAGCACAACAGUUACUACCUUGUCCUCAGCUGUGGGGACCCUCCACCCCAGUCGGACAGCCGGAGGGGGCAGCAGUGGGGGUGGGGCCGUGACCCCCCUCAACUCUAUCCCCUCCAUCACCCCCCCACCCCCCGCCACCACCAACAGCACAAAUCCCAGCCCCCAAGGCAGCCACUCGGCCAUCGGCCUGUCGGGCCUGAACCCCAGCACAGGAAGCACAAUGGUGGGGCUGAGCUCGGGGUUGAGUCCGGCUCUCAUGGGUAACAAUCCUUUGGCCACCAUACAAGCGCUGGCCUCUGGUGGAACUCUGCCCCUUACCAGCCUUGAUGCCAGCGGGAACCUGGUCCUGGGGGCAGCCGGGGGCGCCCCCGGGAGCCCGGGCAUCGUGACCUCCCCGCUCUUCCUGAACCACGCCGGAUUGCCCCUGCUCAGCGCCCCGCCAGGGGUGGGCCUUGUGUCGGCCGCCGCGGCCGCCGUGGCGGCCUCCAUCUCCACCAAGUCCCCGGGCCUCUCCUCCUCCUCCUCUUCCUCCUCCUCCUCCUCUUCCUCCUCCUCCUCCUCUUCCUCCUCCUCCUCUUGCAUCGAGACAGCAGCACAGACCCCCGGGGGGCCUGAGGCAGGGGCCAAAUCCGAAUGAGAGCACCCUCCGCCUUCUCCUGCCUCCUCCCCCUCGGCCCCGCUGCUCCCCCCCCCCCGCCUGGGGGGGCUGGUGGUCGGGGCCAGCGGCGGGGGAUUAAGGUGAGGACCCCGGAGCUGGAGGAAACACCAAAAAAAUAACCCCAGAAAGAAAAAACCAAACAAAAAAUAGAGUAAAGCCAAAUAGAACCGCCACAACCAGCCGCCCAGAAUGAGCCGGGGCGAACAGAAGAAACCAAAAAACGAAACCAAAAAACCCAGUCCAGAGCCAGACCUCAGUGCGCUCGCCGCUCGCCGCUGGACCACCCGACCGCCCGGAGCCUCCGCCGCCGCCCGGGCCAGAGGAGGAGGGGAGCGCGGCGCGCCCCGGGGGGAGGGGAGGAAGGUGGGGCGGGCGGGGGCCAGGGGAGGGAACAACUGUGGAUUUUUCUUUUCCAGAAACCAAAAGAGACAGGGCCCAGAACCUCACACCAAAUAGCCGGUAGCUUCAUCCAAAGGCCUGUAUAGAACUGGUAGCGUUUCUUGUGCUCCCCCGAAUGUGUCCCCCGUCCCAUCACCCGGCCUCGGGGUGGGGGGAGGGGAACUGUCCGAACUGCCUUUUUUUUUUGUUUUUUUGUUUUUAACAGAGGGAGAGUAAAAGGGGAGCGGGGCGGGGAGAGACUCCCCCGCUCUCCUGCGCUCUUCCCCAUCUCCUUGGGUGUGGGGGUCCGGCCGGUUGGCCACGCGAGUCCCACGGGCUCUCCCCCGGUCCCUCUGGUUCUGUGCUUAGGGAGUGAGGUCUGGGUGGGGGGCACGGCACGGCAGGGCAGGGCGGUCCCAGCUCUUGCUCGUUCUUGUCUGCCAGCUCCCCCCGUCCCUCUUCCUCAUCUCUAAAAAACAAAACAAAACAAAACAAACAAAAAAAACAAAAAACAAACAAAAAAAUACCAAAAAAACCAAAAACAAAAAAACAAACAAAAAAAAAAAGCCACCAAAAAAAAAAAAAAAAACUCAUAUUCCAGUGCCUAUCCGUGGGAUCGUUCACGCUCUUUUACAUUAUCCAGAAAAACCAAAAAAUCGUUCCCUCGCUCCUGCCCACCCACUACACACAGGAAGAUGUCCCACUCCUCCGACCCCCUCCCCAUUCGCACCCCGCCUCCAACCUCCCGAUGGCCACACCCAGAAUCAGGGUCCGAGUCGGGGGCGGGGGAUGGCACCAGUCUCAGUGGCUCCCCUGCGGGCACUGGGAUGUACGUAGAUGACGGAGGCCUUCGGGAACGCUGCAGUUGGGGUUGUCCCUCUGCCGGCCACGUCUUGAACCAAAAAAAAAAAAAAAAAAAAGAAAGAAAAAAGAAAAAAAGAAAAGAAAAGAAAGAAAAAGAAAAAAAAAGUACCACAAAAAAUAAAACUCAAAAAAAAAUUUUUUAAAUAGAAAAAUCUAUAGAUAUAUAUAUUUAAGGGAAAGAAGAAGAGAAGUCAGACUCUUAGAAGAAGAUACUGGAGGAGCCAGGAGGGAAGCAUGGGGCCUCCAGAGUGACGGCGAGGGCCUCCUGCCUCCACGCCCUACGGACAGACGAAUAAAUACUUCUUUCUCGUCACAAAUACCUCAUGGACCUCUACGGGGGUUGGGAGGGAGGGGAGGAGAUGGCCUCUGGCCCAGGAAAGACGGGCUGGGGCAGGAGGGAAGGAUGUCAAGGCCGGGCCCCAGGGGGAGCCCCCUUCUGGUCCGGCUGCCGGGCCCUUCCCCUCAACGUCACCCGAACAAAGCUUUAAACGGACGGCGGAAAACCCGGACAGAAAUCCACGGAGACCACGAUUCUGGGGGUGGUCCAGAUCCUCCUCCACGGUGGUCCUUCUUCCUCUCUCUCCUUCCCUUUUCUUUCUCUCCUUCCUCAAACCAAAGUGUUGCUGGGUAGGAAGCGAGCCAUCGGUGUGAGAGCCUACCCUCACUGUCAGGGGCUGGCACUUGGGCUGCACCGGGCAGCAGAGAGAGCUCGGAGAAGAGGCGGCGUCCGCUUGGAUACUCCUCUUCCUGCUGGACGGACACAAGAGGAGAGAUGGCCUGAGGCUCUGGCACGGCCCAGGUGCCUGGGCCCUGGCGGUUUGAUUUCCCUGUCUCCCCUCCUCAGCCCCGUCCCGAUCUGCCUCUGGAGGACCGCAGGCAGCUCGGCCGUGCCAGCCUGCGCCCACCUCUCUGCCUCCCCCCGGACUGUGUGGGCCUGCAGAGCAUCCUCUGCGGGGAUCCCAUCCGGGAAGCCUUGUCCGGGGCGCUGGAGCCCCUCCGGCUGUCCAGGGGCGAGGAGGGUGGCUGCAGAUCCCCGGGCCCUCCCUCGGUGCCAGUCCCCCAGCAGAAUGUACACCUCUCCACUGGACUGGACUCCCCUCUUCUGCCUACGGCCAAGUGUUCCUGCUUUUGUUUCCAAGAGAGACAGGAGGGGACUGGGACCGAGACGAGAAUGUGUGGCUCCCGGGAAGAGGCCUGGGGGAGACGGGGCCAAGGGCUACUGGCCUGGACAGGGAUGACAGAACGCAACAAACAAAAGGGAAAGACAAACCAUGGACAAAAUCGACAGAAGGCGUUGCCGAGAACACUCCAAAUCGAUGGAAUACAACAACGACAACACAAAAACUUUGAUUUUAGACCAAAAAACCAAAACCAAAACCAAACCCGAUCCCCCUGGAUUCACCAUCCUCGCGCCGAUCAUCUCCUUCCCAUCCAUCCCGGGCCUGUGCCCCCCCGGGUACCCCCCUGCCCUGGCUGCUGGGGGCAGCGGGGGACACGGAUGGAUGGGGAACGAGGGACAUGGAGAGCGGGGCCCGGGCACAAGUCCUGCCAAGUGCGGGUGGGAAGGGGCCUCCGCGGGCCCCCUUCCUCAGCUUCACUCAGCUUCCAGGCGAGAGAGGAAACAGAAUUCUCGGGGGAUUUCAAACAAACAAACCAACCCAACCCACAAACUCCCAAGCUUUAACUACAGCUGUGAAACCAAAUAUUUUGGGAAGGGGUAGGGGAGGGAGGGGCAGGUGAGCCCCAGGUCUCCCCCCUGGGCCCCCCCUCCCCCCAGGACUGGAGAUAAGGCACCAAAUACCUCAUAGAACUUUAAUGUUAAGAGAAACCAAAUAUGGCCGGCGUAGGGGGCCGGCUGGGGAGUGGGGGUGGGGGGUGGGCAGCAAGAGGGAGGCCGGGGACCGGGAAGGGGAGCCAGGCCAUGGAAGGCUUGGGGGUGGUAGCUGCACGCUACCCCUGCCCCUUCUCCUGCCCCUUCCACUCCUGUCCCCCUUUGUCCCGACUCCGGGAAGCAAAACUAUCUCAUCCUUUUUAUUUUGUGAUUUGCGCGGGGGGCCUGUCUGUGCCCGUGUGUCUGUGUGUGAGCGAGAGAGAAUCGGGGAGACUGGGGUUUUUUUGUGGGGGGUGGGGG
ensembl:lncRNA